rnacentral:rRNA from 1 species
AUUGAACGCUGGCGGCAUGCCUUACACAUGCAAGUCGAACGGUAACGCGGGGCAACCUGGCGACGAGUGGCGAACGGGUGAGUAACGCAUCGGAACGUGCCCAGUAGUGGGGGAUAGCCCGGCGAAAGCCGGAUUAAUACCGAAUACGACCUAGGGGUGAAAGCUGGAACCGCAAGGGCUCGCGCUGUUGGAACGGCCGAUGGCAGAUUAGGUAGUUGGUGGGGUAAAGGCCUACCAAGCCUGCGAUCUGUAGCUGGUCUGAGAGGACGACCAGCCACACUGGGACUGAGACACGGCCCAGACUCCUACGGGAGGCAGCAGUGGGGAAUUUUGGACAAUGGGGGAAACCCUGAUCCAGCCAUGCCGCGUGCGGGAAGAAGGCCUUCGGGUUGUAAACCGCUUUUGUCAGGGAAGAAAUCCCUCGGGUUAAUACCCUGGGGGGAUGACGGUACCUGAAGAAUAAGCACCGGCUAACUACGUGCCAGCCGCCGCGGUAAAAC